rnacentral:sRNA from 1 species
AACUUUCAAAUAUUCAGCAAAAAUAUCAAAUGGAAUGAAUUAAACAAACUGUGCAAAUCUCACCUGUGGUUAGGAUGCUGCUUCUCCUGUCUGUUGCUAUUGCAGAUGUUACACCAACAACAUGAGUAUCUAACAAACUGGAAGGCUAUUGAUACCCAGGAUACCCUGGCAAUAAUUUGGCAGGACUCCAAUAACACAAACACAAAAUAUUCAAUUCUAUCUUUUAUGAUUAUUCGACUGAUAUCUAGUACCUAGAUACAAGAUACUGAAAUAUAGACCUCCACAUAUUCUGUUAAGCCUCGUACUCACCGUGUACUUGGUACAAAGAAACCAAAAUUGGACGUAUGAGUGAAAGAAAAGUGUUGCGGACAAUCGCAAACAACCGCAAUGGACAGGAGAAAGCAGCCCCUGACAGAAACGAAAACCAAACUGCUCAGACACUGUGUCAACAAUGUCUGACGAAUUGUCAGGAACCGCAAAAUGGUGUUGUUGCUAAUGUUGCUGCCCAGGCCGGGAGCCGGGUGUCGGGUCCAUGCCAGAUGACAAUGUCAACGAGGAGGUACUACGGUGGAUAGACAGGAUGCCAGUGGGAGCAUACAGGACGAACGGAACAUUCCCGAACAGAAAAGAAUAUAACAGGACGGAACGGAGAAACGGAACCCAGCAACAGGAUAGUGUGUGGACAAUUUUGUACGCCAUUCACGAUACAACAUAGGAGCAGGAGGUGGCUAUUCGUACAGAUGGAAAUGGAGAUGGAGAUGGAUGGAUGUGUCCCUUACAUUCUGUGGGUUUUUCUAUGGGAAAUUUGUCAGCGAGCUUAAGGUGGCCACAGCGAAACACUUGACGAUAUUCACACCACACUCAGCAACACACAUGUGCGCUCCGCUUGUGGGUUUUUGCAAUUCAUGAACUGAUGGGAAUGGGAACUAUAAUCGUAGUAGAACUGAACUCCUCAUCAAAGGGACGGGAUUCUAUCUCACUUUGAUACAUCUUUCUGUUUCGGGGAUUAGGUCAUACAUCUGUACGAGUAGAUGUAUAUGUGAGUCAGUCAAAGCUGGUAUCCAAAUUAUUCUGUUAUUCGACUAUUUAUAGAAGAUGCGUACACACACACAUAAAAUCCUUUAUGAAUAAUGCAAUUUGCGGUCAUAUAAGUGCAUAUGUAUAAAUUCAUACAUAAGUGCUUCUGUACAUAAAGGAUCUUUUA